GCAGAACAUCGUCCUCCUCUGUGUGGAUGAAGAUGAAAGGGGCAGGUCUGCAUCAAAAGUUCCCUGCUCAGGCCAAGAUCCUAGUGGACUUUAAAAAGUACCUGAAUGAGGCACUCAGGGUUCCACACUGGCAACAUCAGGUGGACGACGUGUCUCGCUUUUUGCGGUACAUGCAGCCCGCUGGGGAUGAGCCGACUCUGGACUUCCUGUCCAAAGCACAGAGACCCAGGAGUUUGUGACGACCCUUCAGCACACUAAGAUGAAUGCAGCCACCAUCCUCAAUUAUUUUAAGAGCAUUUACAAGUUCUUGGAUUGCCUGCAGACAAGGGUGGAUCUUCAAUGAGCAGACUCACAGCUUCAGAGCAGCUGCAAGAACUACCGGCAGACACAGACAGGAUGUUGAUUGAGCGCCCAGCAUUACAGAUUGCCAGAGGAUUUUUCACAGUGGCAGAGCCAGACUUCUUGAGGAUCAAUGGGAAUCUGCAGAGUGGAUUAGCGCUCUCAAAUACAGAGAAGACAAUGUACCGCUACUACUGUGAACAUUUGCCACAUGCAGCGUCCUCAAGGUGUGGAAAACUUGACGGAUGCAGAGUGGGUGAAGAGAAUUCAACAAGGUGACAGGGUUGUGACUGGGACUUCCAGCAUGCAGAUCGCCUUGAUGAGGAAGCAGUAAGUUUUGUGGUUUCAGCUGUACUACAAGCAGAUCAGGCCUGACAGCGUUCAGCAUGGAAAGUUUUCCAGAGGUUUUUUUCUUUCAUCGUCUGGCGAGAGUGUUCACAGUGUCUCUCAAGACAUGAACCGCUUCCAUGAAAUGUAUGGAAGACCGCUGCAAAAAAACUCACGGCGGGACAAAAGGAGGCCAUAAGGAAUUACCUGGGUUGUGGCACUGCAGAUUCUAGAACGCUGCAGCCUCACAAAAUUGUGGACACACCCGUGCUGCUGGAUUCCUUGUCUGGCAAGAGUGAAGAAACUUCUGCUGCAGCUUCAUCUGACGUCAGCAUUUGGAAACACACUUUCCCGAAAAACUUUUCUGCCUUUGUGGCCAGUUUCCCAGUUUCACUGGAGGGCCAGCCACCGUGCAAAAAGCAGCGGGUCGAUUCUGGAUAUCCUGAAGAUGCCACCUUUUAUCACAAGUGGAGAGCCUCCCACACACUUUCCUCUUCUCAAGCCAACAGUCAGAACAGUGGCAAGGCUUAUUGCCAAGGAGGGUUGGAAGGCCAACUACCCAAAGGUUGAAGAGAUACAACUGUUGUGGAAACCGGCUCCCAAGCGAACCAUUGAAACAGACAUGUUUAUAAUAAGAUGUGUUUCUGAGCAGGUUUGGCCAGUCCUGGUCAUAAAGGACUUUGGAGCUGAACAAGGUCAUGGAAUGGUUGCAACCCAUCCAUUUUCCAAAAGCGAGAUCGUGUGCGAUUUCCAUGGAAAGUUAAUCACAGCUGCUGAGGGGAGGGCAUUGCUGGAGGGCAUACACAAUGAGGCCGUUUGCUUGUUCUUAUUCAAAGUCGGACAGCACAGCUUGUGCAUUGAUGCCCAGACCGUCCCAUGCGAGUGCCACCCUGACGAAAAGACGAUUGGCAGGAGGAUUAAUCAUUCUUCUAAGAGGCAUAACUUAAAACCCUUUCAGUGCGUGUUGAAGAUCAAUGAAGAGGACAGGCCUGUCUUUCUCUUCAAGGCGGUGCAGGACAUCAGCAUUGACGCACAACUGACAUUUGACUACGGAGUAGGCAGAAUGACUUAUAGAGAAGAAGGAAUGAACCUGACAUGGCUGGAUAACCAACCAUUCCUAGACUUCCUUUCAAACUACACUUUCUCCCCUCCAGACAGGCUGCACAAAGGUGAAUGACUAGGUCUUACAAACAAAACAACGUCAGAUGUCGCACUGGGAUGUUUUUCAAGAAUAUAUGUCAAAAUGUAGGUUGAAUGUUAAAAUGUCAAAAUUAUGUUUGCAUUAAAUUGUUAUUCUAUAA